GGAGAGGGGGUGUCGGGUGGUGGGGAAUAGCUGCUAUAGCCUCCCGGCUCCACUCCCCUACUAGACACUCCCUAAACGAUCUCAGCUACGGCCACGGAUAAUGGUGAUUCUCAAUCACGAGGAGUAAAUAUUAUAAGUAGCGUUUGGGGAUUAGAAGGACAUCCACCAGGAAAACGGAAUAAACAUCCUUGGGGACCCAGGGCGUCGCGGAUAUCGGGUCAGGAUUGACCCGUGUAUAUCGCAUACUAAAUUAUGUUCUCCAAAUCAGUCUUACGGUGACCCUUUGAGCUGUAGGGGGAGUACUUGAUGUAAGCCCUCUCACCUUUUCAGGUUUACAAGUUUUAAAAGUGCCAUCCACAUGAUAACGAACAGCAGUCCGGAUAAUUCCCUGUGAGAGGUCAAGUGAUAAAAUCAGCCAGAUUCAGCCGGGCACCCUACUAAUCCGUCCGAGCAAUUCUCACCGCGACCUGUGUUAUCGGCGACGUCACCACAAGUAGACCGUAACUGAACAGAUGAGUACCGGUACAAGCCUGAGUAUCAAGUCCCUCCGCCCCCACGAAUGCGGUCCACUAUAACGCCCCGCGCGCGACACACACCUUCCUUCCUCGUGCUCUAGCGGGUGAACCAUGCCAUUACGGACGUGUACGGAGACGCGAGUAGACAAGUACAAGGCGCCACAGAUGCAGGCGCAGAGAUGACUGAAAGUCAACGCUCGCCACAGAAAAUAACCUGCAAAUAAUAAAAACAUUAAAAUGCUAGUUUAUUUAUUUAUAAUAACCUGCAAAUAAUAAAAGCACAGAAAUGCUAGUUUAUUUAUUUAUAAUAACCUGCAAAUAAUAAAAGCACAAAAAUGCUAGUUUAUCAGUCUUUAAAAUAAUAAAAGCAUAAAGAUGCUGGUUAUCAAAUUCUUUAAAAUGAA